AUUGAACGCUGGCGGCAUGCUUUACACAUGCAAGUCGAACGGUAACAGGCCGCAAGGUGCUGACGAGUGGCGAACGGGUGAGUAAUGCAUCGGAACGUGCCCAGUCGUGGGGGAUAACUGCUCGAAAGAGCAGCUAAUACCGCAUCCGAUCUAUGGAUGAAAGCGGGGGACCGUAAGGCCUCGCUCGAUUGGAGCGGCCGAUGUCAGAUUAGGUAGUUGGUGGGGUAAAGGCUCACCAAGCCAACGAUCUGUAGCUGGUCUGAGAGGACGACCAGCCACACUGGGACUGAGACACGGCCCAGACUCCUACGGGAGGCAGCAGUGGGGAAUUUUGGACAAUGGGGGCAACCCUGAUCCAGCAAUGCCGCGUGCAGGAAGAAGGCCUUCGGGUUGUAAACUGCUUUUGUACGGAACGAAACGGUCUAGGUUAAUACCCUGGGCUAAUGACGGUACCGUAAGAAUAAGCACCGGCUAACUACGUGCCAGCCGCCGCCGUAAUAC
rnacentral:rRNA from 1 species